rnacentral:lncRNA from 1 species
GUACAAGUGGGUGCUCACAGUGGAGACUGCCUUGGCUCUGGUUUUCCUGAACCUUGAUGGGACACUCUACAGUGAGUCCUGGGAUUCCUUGCUACUUGUUUGAAUCGACCUUGGGACCUUGCACCUGCAAGGCACGUGGCGGAACCACUGAGCUAAAUCCCCGGCCCUGUAUAUAAUAUUUUUGUGAACACCUAAAUCUAUAUAGCACUCUUUUAUAUCUGUGUCUGUGUCUCCUCUCUUUUUUUACUAGUCAAUAUUUUUGUUCCUUUUCCUUCUUGUCCAUCAGACUUGUGGGAAUCUAAACAGAGAAAGCUCUCCAACCAGAAGAGCAACAUUGCAGAGCCAUGAGGACAAACCUUUCUCCUCAGCUCUUGGGGUCAGAGCAAACCAGUCAGGUUACACAAGAAUGUUCUGUACUGCCAAGUAGCUUUUCAUGUGGCACAACUCAGAAAGAUGUUCACAGAUAUGCUCUUUUCUCGUGGCUCAGUCUGUGAGGAAAAAAAUAAUGAUAAAAUCAGGAAUCCACUAAAAGAUGAAUAUGACCGUUCAAAACUAUAAAGGACUCUUAUCAUUUUUUCCAUGCAAAACACACUUAAUGUUCACAUAUGUUCUUUAAAAAUUAAGCAAAACAAAAUCAACAUAAAUGAUGUUAAGCAAGCAAGACUAAAUAUGUCUGUAACUUUGAGCCUGUGUCUGGAGUCCACAAGCACCGACAACUGAAAUGCUCAACUUCACUCAGAACAUGUGCAUCUGCGCCUGACCCCUGUGAGUCCAUGAUCCACAAGAGCUAGAAGGAGAAACAACUAACCCUAGGAUCCUUGCAGCCAGGCAGGGAUAUUUCCAAAUCUCUUUCCUUAUGGAGCCCCAGCACACUUGAAUGAGGAAGAAAGUGAGAGGAAGUAAGAAAAAGAAAGGAAGAUAUAGAAGGAAAAGGGAAUAGGAGGGUGGGAGGAAAGAAGAGCAAGAAUAAAAAUAUCCAAUAUUGGGUAUGAAGAAAAUGAGGGCCAAUAUUAAAUACAGAUGAAAUUAAAGAAGUAUAAAAGGAUGCCAUGUGUAAUAUGUUGAGAAAUAAUUUGAAAACUACAGGAAAGAUAAUUUCUUUGCAAGCUAUAUUUCUAAAACCAACUCAAAGCAAUAAAACAAAAGAGUAUUAAUAUCCAAAAAGCUUUAUAAAUAAAAUAUAGCUUCUAUCAAGGAAGAAAUUGCAAAGAAAAGGUUCCAUAGGCAAAUCCCAGAUAACCUGUGGCAAUUCUGAUAAAAGUAGAUCAUAGGAAAAAAACAGCUGUUUUUAUUAUCUUAUUGUAGCAUCACAUUUUUAAUUGAAAUUUGGUAAAGAUGCUAUAAAAUAAUUUCUCAAAACAUUUCAUUUCCAAAUAUAUGUGCUAAUAGUCUAAUAAAAACAUUAUCAAAAUGAGUCAAAUAUAAAUCAAAUAGAAUGGCUCAAUUUCAAGAAUUUUUUAAAAGAUACCUGAAAAAUAAAUUAUCCUAUCAAUAGAAGUUGAGCAAUUUUAUAGAGAUAUCAAUCUUUCAUAACAAAACCUUUUAUGAAAACUGAAUUUGUAGUUGGUUUAGUUAUUGCUUUAUAUAUUUUGAGCCUAUAUUAAUAGGUGGAUAUGUGAAUAGGUAUUUUAAUGAACACAGUUAUUUUCUGAUUGCUCUUUGUACUAGUAUGCAACAUCCUUCUUUGUUAUUUGUUGACAUAUAUCAUUAUUUUGUCAGUAGUUAAUAUUGCUGCUUCAAAUUUCUUCUGGUUUAUAUUUUCCUUGUGUACCUAUUCUCCAGUUAUUAGCAUGCGUGUGUGUGCUCGCACACGUGUAUGACUGUGAGGUGUAUUGGUUUUGCUCACAGAAAAUAUUUUGUUGGACUUGUUUUAAUCAGUUCUGAGUCUCUAUUGAUUACUGAGUUAACCCAUUUACAUUCACUACCUUUAUUAGUACAUAAGUCUUAUUUCUUAUGUCAGUCAGUUUAUUUUAUUUGCUUACCCUUAUUCUACGCUGAAUAGAUAAGAUUUUCUUCCACUACUUCAAAUAUUGUAUAUUUUUCAU